rnacentral:rRNA from 1 species
GAGUAACACGUGGAUAACCUACCUAUAAGACUGGGAUAACUUCGGGAAACCGGAGCUAAUACCGGAUAAUAUAUUGAACCGCAUGGUUCAAUAGUGAAAGACGGUUUUGCUGUCACUUAUAGAUGGAUCCGCGCCGCAUUAGCUAGUUUGUAAGGUAACGGCUUACCAAGGCAACGAUGCGUAGCCGACCUGAGAGGGUGAUCGGCCACACUGGAACUGAGACACGGUCCAG